CCCAACUAUCCCUAUUAAUCAUUACGUCGAUCCUAGAAACCAACAAAAUAAAAUCAAACGUCCUAUUUCGUUAUUCCAUGCUAAUAAUGUAUUCAAGCGUGAGCCUGCUUUAAACACUCUAAUUUUUUCAAAGUAACAGUCCUGAUUCCCUAAAAUACCAAAUUAAUGGCAUUAUAGUUCGUCAGAAAAGAGAAACCGAUUAUACCAGUACGUACAAAAGCACGACCAGUAAACUGGUCUCGAAAUUCAACUACGAGCUUUUUAACUGCAACAACUUUAAUAUACGCUAUUGGAGCUGGAAUUAUCGUGGCUGCUGGCACCAGACUUGCCCUCCAA
rnacentral:misc_RNA from 1 species